UACAGAGGGGGCAAGCGUUGUUCGGAAUUACUGGGCGUAAAGGGCGCGUAGGCGGCCGCCUAAGUCAGACGUGAAAUCCCUCGGCUCAACCGGGGAACUGCGUCUGAUACUGGGUGGCUUGAAUCCGGGAGAGGGAUGCGGAAUUCCAGGUGUAGCGGUGAAAUGCGUAGAUAUCAAGAGGAACACCUGAGGCGAAGGCGGGUUGCUAGGCUGACACUGACGCUGAGUGCGCGAAAGCCAGGGGAGCAAACGGG
rnacentral:rRNA from 1 species